CUUUGGCAACUAGAUGCAGUGCUAGGCUUCACUCUGCAAGGUGUUUAAAAAGAAAAACAGGUUUACUCAGGAUUUAUCAUGGAGUGGAAUAAGAGUGCCUCUCUCUCUAGAUGGGAACUUUGCUUCAUGGGACAUUACAACUGUAUGCCUUAAGGCAGAAAAGCGCAUAAAGGUACCUGGGAAAGUAAAUUGCCAGAAGCGAAGAGCACCC